AAACACAGAAAGAAUACGAGGAAGAACACACAGCAGGUGUCUACCUCCUGGUCUCCAUCCCUGCCAGAGCUUCCUUCUUACUUCCUGGAACCUUGCAGGAGUCAUAACCAUACUGUGGUGAUUUCUUCUUCCCCCUUGGGCUUAAGGCCCCUCAUCCAGCGAGUCCCUGGCCCAGGCUGUGCCUCCAUCAUCUGUGCCUUACAUAUAGGGCCCGGCUUUCAUUAGCAGGAGCCCAUGGGCUUCCUGUUCACUCUCUUCCUGUCUGCUUGGAUCCUGGGGCUCACAGCUAUCCCUCUUUACAGUCAUUAUGUCAUGGGCACCUUCCAGGGGUCCUUCUGACAAAUGGGGAUAAUUCCACCCAUUUAAAGGAUGGGGAAAUGGAGGUUCAGAGAGAUGAAUGAAAUUGCCCGGUGACUCAGUCUUCCCAGGGUGGUUCUGACCUCUGGGUCCCCUAAACUGGUUUUACCCUCCCUGUCCUCUCUUCACUACCAAGUGAAAUGACAAGACCCAGCCAACUCAGGUGUGUAGGGUCUUUCUUUGCUGGGAUAGAAGAAGAGCUGUUGUUGAUGUCAGCUGGCCUUUGGGGACUGAGAUACCAUCUCUUCUACUUGCUCCAGAUCUGAAAGCACCUUGGAAACCAGUGGCUGCUUUUACCAGCACCUACAUCUUUUAACAGGCUAUGGCUGGUUGUCAUAGAAAGGCCUCAUCCCUGGAAGGUUUCUGCAGAACCUGAAACUGCCAGACCCCUGACCUAAGAAAAUGGAAGUCUUAGGUGAUCAUGGACCCUAAUGGGGGCACCAAGGGAUUAAGAGAUUAUGAAAAGAAAAGUUUAAGACUAGAAAAUCCCCAUGUGAGGGCUGACUGGCCUAUGAACCACCAAGACAACCUAAAGUAGGUAAACUGAAGCUGGCCUGGCUUGGCCUCCCCCUGGGACCUUAAUGGACUCGCAUCCUGGGAGUCUGGGUCCCAAGACCUAAUCCCUCUUUUGGCAUCGCUUGAUGUUGGACUCAAAGGAGACGCUCCUCUGCCCUGCAAUAAGAACUCAGUGUGGCCACAGGCUCACCAGCCUUGUCGUCUUCCUGGGCCAUGGAGAAGACUGCAUUUCCCAGCCUCAACUCCCAAGGCGAUGACGUGCUAUGGUUGGCUCCCACCAAAACUCAUCUCGAAGUGUGGUUGCCGAGGCAAUUGUGUUGGCACCCACUGCCUAUCACUUGCAUGUCCCUUGCAGAGAUGGCACCCAGCAUGUCAUGACAACUUUACCAGUUUAGACCACCGAAUCUCCACCUUCUUGGCUUCCAGGACUGUGUGAUAAAUAAACCUACUUUCCUAGUGAAUUAUCUUGUAUAAGACGGUCUGCUAUAGAAGCAGUUCUCCACCUAUGGGUCAACUGACCCCUUCAUAGGGGUCUCCUAAGACUAGGAAACACAGAUAUUUACAUUAUGGUUCGUAACAGUAGCAAAAUUACAGUUAUGAAGUAGUAGCAAAAAUACUUGUAUGGUUGGGUUACCACAAAAUAAUGUUGUGUAUUAAAGGGUCUCAACAUUAGGAAGGUUGAGAACCACUGGGCUAUAGAAUCAUAAAAUGGACUAACAUACCAUGCAACUGGGUUCUUACAGAAGGUGUGUAUACAGACACGAUAUUUGCUAUUCCUAGGUCCAGCCUUUCCACUACCCCUAGAGUGACACUUCUUGCUUUGUCCCCUGCCUCCCACCAUGCCCAUGAGUUGAAGAUAAGGGUCUCAUAAAACAGAAGCAUCUUGGGAAGCUGAGGUCACAGGAUCAGAAGUUCAAGGACACUCUCUGCUACAUCUGCUGGUUUAGUUCCAGCUUGGACUACGUAAGACCCUGAGCCUUGUCCCCUGCACCACCACCCCCUGCCCAGGAAAAGAAGGAGAUUGGAUAUGGGAGUUGCUGUGCUCAGGCAAUUCAUUGACCUGGACUGUAUUUGUGCAAGCAAGAAAUAAACCUUUAUUACCACUGCA
rnacentral:lncRNA from 1 species